rnacentral:rRNA from 1 species
CGUGGAGACAGGUGGUGCAUGGCUGUCGUCAGCUCGUGUCGUGAGAUGUUGGGUUAAGUCCCGCAACGAGCGCAACCCUUACCCCUUGUUGCCAUCAGGUCGUGCUGGGCACUCUAGGGGAACUGCCCCGGUCAACGGGGAGGAAGGUGGGGACGACGUCAAGUCAUCAUGCCCCUUACGUCCUGGGCUACACACGUGCUACAAUGGCCGGUACAAAGGGAUGCAAAAUCGCGAGGUGGAGCCAAACCCAGAAAGCCGGUCUAAGUUCAGAUUGGAGUCUGCAACUCGACUCCAUGAAGGAGGAAUCGCUAGUAAUCGCGCAUCAGCACGGCGCGGUGAAUACGUUCCCGGGCCUUGUACACACCGCCCGUCACACCACGAAAGCCAGCUGUACUCGAAGUCGCUGAG